rnacentral:tmRNA from 1 species
AGACAGGCUUUGAGUAGGGUUGUUCAUUCUCCGGCGAUAAGCUUAAAUUAAAUGAAUGAAACAAGCGUGUAGAAGUUGUUGGUUCAUACUGUAGGACGUGGGUUCAAAUCCCACCAUCUCCAAAA